rnacentral:rRNA from 1 species
UAACACAUGCAAGUCGAACGAGGUCCAUGGACUCUUCGGACUCCGGAAGACCUAGUGGCGAACGGGUGCGUAACACGUGAGA